AAAUUAAUCUUGAUUAAAACCUGAAAUUGUUGUAUAGUCCCUAGACCCUAGCCAUUAGCAUAAAACAAAAAUAAAUGCUACAAUGUGGUGGAGUAAACAAAAAUUGAAUUAGAGGAAAAUGUACAUAUGUUUAGUCAGAGAAAAAUUAUAAACUUAUAAACUUAUUUGACAAAUCGUCGAAAAAAUAAAGUCGACAAAAAAAAAAAAAAAAUAAACUUAUUUGACAUAAUAUGGUUGUUGGAUCGCACGCCUAUGCCUAUCUUUUUCGUGUUUUCUCUACCUUUCCUUAUUAAAAAGAAAAUUUUCCUUUUUUGUUACUUUCAAUUUUGUUUUAUUUUGGUGUUUGAUGAUUAAAAUUG
rnacentral:lncRNA from 1 species